GAAGUUAACGCAUUAAGCACUCCGCGUGGGGAGUACGGCCGCAAGGCUGAAACUCAAAGGAAUUGACGGGGGGCCGCACAAGCGGUGGAGCAUGUGGUUUAAUUCGAAGCAACGCGAAGAACCUUACCAGGUGUUCACAUCCUCUGAAAACCCUAGAGAUAGGGCUUCUCCUUCGGGAGCAGAGUGACAGGUGGCGCAUGGUUGUCGUCAGCUGGUGUCGUGAGAUGUUGGGUUAAGUCCCGCAACGAGCGCAACCCUUGAUUCUUAGUUGCCAUCAUUAAGUUGGGCACUCUAAGGUGACUGCCGGUGACAAACCGGAGGAAGGUGGGGAUGACGUCAAAUCAUCAUGCCCCUUAUGACCUGGGCUACACACGUGCUACAAUGGACGGUACAAAGAGAUGCAAGACCGCGAGGUGGAGCUAAUCUCAUAAAACCGUUCUCAGUU
rnacentral:rRNA from 1 species